GUUCUAGUGCACAGAGAUCUGUAGCGUCUGCCUGAAGGGAGAAGUGCAAACAAGUUGUGUCCGGGGUGAGAGGGGUCUUUGAUGAUGUUACCUGCCCGUUUCUUCACUCUGGAGUUGUACAAGUCCUGAAGGCUGGGCAGGUGCACACCAAUGAUCUUUUCUGCUGUCCUAACAGUCCGUUGAAGUCUUCUUAAAUCUGAUUUGCUGGCUGACCCAAACCAGACAGUUAUGGAGGAGCACAGAACCGACUCAAUAACAGCUGAAUAAAACUGUUUCAGCAGCUCCUGUGGCAGGUCCUGAGAGAUGGUGGUGCCCAGGAACCUGAAUGACUCCACUGCAGCCACAGUGCUGUUCAUGAUGACUCGUCGCCGUCCUGGAUGAGGCCGAUGACUGUGGUGUCGUCUGCAAACUUCAGGAGUUUGACAGAGGGGUCUUUAGAGGUGCAGUCAUUUGUGUAGAGGGAGAAGAGUAGUGGGGAGAGAACGCAGCCCUGAGGAGCUCCAGUGCUGAUGGUGCGGGUGCUGGAUGUGUGUUUUCCCAGCCUCACUAGCUGCUGCCUGUCUGUCUCUUACAUAUGCAUGUGGUUAAACAAGCUCUGUGAGGAACUGUACUGUGAUGUACUGUGAUAUACUGUGAUGUACUGUGAUAUAC